GAUGAACGCUGGCGGCGUGCCUAAUACAUGCAAGUCGAGCGAACGUACUAGCAGCUUGCUUCUCUGAUGUUAGCUGCGGAAGGGUGAGUAACACGUGGAUAACCUACCUAUAAGACUGGGAUAACUUCGGGAAACCGGAGCUAAUACCUGAUAAUAUUUUGAACCGCAUGGUUCAAAAGUGAAAGACGGUCUUGCUGUCACUUAUAGAUGGAUCCGCGCUGCAUUAGCUAGUUGGUAAGGUAACGGCUUACCAAGGCAACGAUGAAUAGCCGACCUGAGAGGGGGAUCGGCCACCCUGGAACUGAGAAACGGUCCAGACUCCUACGGGAGGCAGCAGUAGGGAAUCUUCAGCAAUGGGCGAAAGCCUGAAGGAGCAACGCCGCGUGAGUGAGGAAGGUCUUCGGAUCGUAAAACUCUGUUAGUAGGGAAGAACAUAUGUGUAAGUAAAUGUGCACAUCUUGACGGUACCUAAUCAGAAAGCCAGGGAUAACUACGUG
rnacentral:rRNA from 1 species